GAUGAACGCUAGCUACAGGCUUAACACAUGCAAGUCGCAGGGUAACAUGAGGAAAGCUUGCUUUCCUUGAUGACGACUGGCGCACGGGUGAGUAACGCGUAUCCAACCUUCCCAUAACUACGGGAUAACCCGUUGAAAGACGGCCUAAUACCGUAUGAUAUCGUUUGCUGACAUCAAAUAACGAUUAAAGGUUUAGCGGUUAUGGAUGGGGAUGCGUCUGAUUAGCUUGUUGGCGGGGUAACGGCCCACCAAGGCGACGAUCAGUAGGGGUUCUGAGAGGAAGGUCCCCCACAUUGGAACUGAGACACGGUCCAAACUCCUACGGGAGGCAGCAGUGAGGAAUAUUGGUCAAUGGGCGAGAGCCUGAACCAGCCAAGUAGCGUGCAGGACGACAGCCCUAUGGGUUGUAAACUGCUUUUAUGUGGGGAUAAAGUGCGUGACGUGUCAUGCAUUGCAGGUACCACAUGAAUAAGGACCGGCUAAUUCCGUG
rnacentral:rRNA from 1 species